UUUAUAACCAGAUCAGUAACAUUGCCUGGUUGUAAAGCUACUGAUAUUUUCCUGGAGGCAAGGAUAGGAGCUGUAGGGGAUGUGACCCCCACACCUGUCAUGUGCUGCCACUACCAUGGGCUUAGCUUCUGACAACAGCUGCAGCAUCACCGUAAUGAACCAUGACCAAAAGUCCAGGGGCAGCAGGACACUGCCUGCCAGACCCAAUGCCCAGGAUAUGCAGCGUCCCAGGUGAUAUUUAGAAAACUUUCAGGGACAGAACUCUCUGGGGGCGGCAAACAGCCCACAGCCUAGUGAAGAGGAGAGUAGAGUGAAGAUAGCGAAGAGGAGUAGAGUGAAAAUAUCUUCAGAUUUUGAAUUUUUUUUUGUAUAUAUUUUAUAUUGUAAAGUUCUAUAUAGUUAUUGUUAAAGCUGCAGUGUUUUCAGUAAAGAGUUUUUUAUUUUUGCUCUA